AAUCAACGCUGGCGGCGUGCCUAACACAUGCAAGUCGAACGAGAAAGCUCGUAGCAAUACGGGUGAGUACAGUGGCGCCCGGGUGAGUAACACGUGGAUAACCUGCCUUCGAGUGGGGAUAACCCUGGGAACCGGGGCUAAUACCGCAUAACACCUAGCGGCUGCGGGCCGCCGGGUUGAAACCUGGCAACGGGGCUUGAAGAGGGGUCCGCGCCCGAUUAGCUAGUUGGCGGGGUAACGGCCCACCAAGGCUGUGAUCGGUAGCCGGCCUGAGAGGGCGGUCGGCC
rnacentral:rRNA from 1 species